CCUACGGGGGGCUGCAGUGAGGAAUAUUGGUCAAUGGGCGUAAGCCUGAACCAGCCAAGUCGCGUGAGGGAUGAAGGUUCUAUGGAUCGUAAACCUCUUUUAUAAGGGAAUAAAGUGUGGGACGUGUCCUAUUUUGUAUGUACCUUAUGAAUAAGGAUCGGCUAACUCCGUGCCAGCAGCCGCGGUAAUACGGAGGAUCCGAGCGUUGUCCGGAUUUAUUGGGUUGAAAGGGUGCGUAGGCGGCCUGUUAAGUCAGCGGUGAAAGGAUUGGGCCCAACCAUAGAUUUGCCGUAGAAACUGGGGGGCUUGAGUAUGUUUGAGGCAGGCGGAAUGCGUGGUGUAGCGGUGAAAUGCUUAGAUAUCACGCAGAACCCCGAUUGCGAAGGCAGCCUGCUAAGCCAUGACUGACGCUGAUGCACGAAAGCGUGGGGAUCAAACAGGAUUAGAUACCCUAGUAGUC
rnacentral:rRNA from 1 species